CCUGUCAUAAUGUGAAAAUAAAUUCUAUUUAAAGGACUUCUCUAUGCAGUAAAAGAUUAUAGGAUGAUAAAACUAAAUCGCUGGACUUCUAGAUUCGGCGACGAUGAAUUUUUUGAAGCCCUGGCAAUGAUGUUGAUGCUGGUGACAAACAGAUUGGAAAAAUGUCGGUCAACUAUCAAUGUGUUUUAUUUAAACCUUUCAAUAGUGAGAUUUUGAAUGCAGUAUUUACCAUAACUCAGAAGUAAGAACUGGCACUGAAAGGAACUCAAUGAAAAUAAAGGCUAUAUGAACAAAAUCCUCAAAGAGUGUGAUUCAAUGAUAAGGGCCUUAUUGUUAACCGAAAAUCUGGGGAAUAAUCAAUCUUCUUUUACCACAAUAAGACAUUGUUGCUUCUUUCAAGGUAUACCCCUACGUUGUGUUCUUGUUUCCUAAGAAAGAUUUAGUUAGUAUUGUCUACAAUA